rnacentral:rRNA from 1 species
GACGAGUCUCACGAACGUUAUUCGGAAUUACUGGGCUUAAAGGGUGCGUAGGCGGUGAAGUAAGUCGGGUGUGAAAUACCAUAGCUUAACUAUGGAACUGCACUCGAUACUACUUUGCUAGAGUAAGACAGAGGUGAGUGGAACUGAGGGUGGAGCGGUGAAAUGCGUUGAUAUCCUCAGGAACACCGGUGGCGAAGGCGGGUCUCUGGGCCGAUACUGACGCUGAGGAGCGAAAGCGUGGGGAGCGAACAGG